UACGUAGGGUGCAAGCGUUAAUCGGAAUUACUGGGCGUAAAGCGUGCGCAGGCGGUUAUGUAAGACAGUUGUGAAAUCCCCGGGCUCAACCCUGGGAACUGCAUCUGUGACUGCAUAGCUAGAGUACGGUAGAGGGGGAUGGAAUUCCGCGUGUAGCAGUGAAAUGCGUAGAUAUGCGGAGGAACACCGAUGGCGAAGGCAAUCCCCCUGGACCUGUACUGACGCUCAUGCACGAAAGCGUGGGGAGCAAACAGG
rnacentral:rRNA from 1 species